GUGGGGAAUCUUAGACAAUGGGGGAAACCCUGAUCUAGCCAUGCCGCGUGAUCGAUGAAGGCCUUAGGGUUGUAAAGAUCUUUCAGCUGGGAAGAUAAUGACGGUACCAGCAGAAGAAGCCCCGGCUAACUCCGUGCCAGCAGCCGCGGUAAUACGGAGGGGGCUAGCGUUGUUCGGAAUUACUGGGCGUAAAGCGCACGUAGGCGGAUUGGAAAGUUGGGGGUGAAAUCCCGGGGCUCAACCCCGGAACUGCCUUCAAAACUCCCAGUCUUGAGGUCGAGAGAGGUGAGUGGAAUUCCGAGUGUAGAGGGGAAAUUCGUAGAUAUUCGGAGGAACACCAGUGGCGAAGGCGGCUCACUGGCUCGAUACUGACGCUGAGGUGCGAAAGCGUGGGGAGCAAACAGGAUUAGAUACCCGUGUAGUCC
rnacentral:rRNA from 1 species